UGCCCCUUCAGUGGUUCCUCCACCUCCACAUCAAUGUCAUAGCACGCGGUCUUCUUCUGGUCUGAUGGGUCCACGCUGCCAGAGAAGCCCAGCCUUUGAUGUCCAUGGUAUACCCCCACGGAAGCCCAGGGCUGGGGAGGGGACACAGGGAGGGGAGCAGGGAGGGGAGCAGAGAGCUCCCUCUGUGGGGAAGGCUGGGCCACCUCACCUGAUGACAUGGUUGAUCACAAUGGGGUCAGGAGGAAGCAGCAGGCCUGUGAGACGCUGGGGAAUCUCAGAAAACUUCAGGCGGGGACAGUCAAAAAUCUGAAGCAGGAGAGUUGAGAGGGAGAUCAUUCGUGUGUGUGUGUGUGUGUGUGUGUGUGUGUGUGUGUGUGUGUGUGUAAAGACAGUAGCUAAUAAUAGUCCUUCCAUUCUGGAAAGACCACAAGAAGCUGAGGGCAAGUCAGAAUUCUGGGCGCUGAUGGCUGUGGGCUGGGCUGGAGGUAGAGAAGCAGGAUAAUUAGGGGGCCAGUGUGGGGUCCUAAGUCAGCCUGCUUGAGCGUUUGUCCCUUCUGCCACAUCCUGUGAGAAGUUACCUAGCACCUUGGGUCUUAGUGCCUUCACUUCCAGAAUAGGGAUAUUACCAACCCCAUCUCAUGGGUGGUUAUGAGAACCGGGUGAAUCUGCAGAGCAGGAAGUGUCUGAAGUGGUACAUGGUAAAUGCUCAAUAAACACCAGCUACUCUUUCUCCUC
rnacentral:lncRNA from 1 species